GAAAAAUAUCUGUAUCGUGCUGCUAAACUGAAUGUGAAUAGUGUUCUUGGAUAACUUGGAGGUCAAGUUUCCUAUGAAACUUGGGAUAACUUGGAGGUCAAGUUUCCUAUGAAACUUGGAGGUCAAGUUUCCUAUAUACAUAUAUAUAUGAAGGAUUGAACCUUUUCUCUCAUUCCCUCACACUUGCAACCAAAGAGAAAGAUCUCUCUCUCUCUCUAGCAAUUUCUCCACCAAAGAGAGGAAUUGGAGGUGGAUUUGGAGAAGAAAAAGCCUGCUUAGAGGUGAAGCUUUCUUUUUCUUCACCAUUGGCUUGAAGAGAGCUUGGGUUUGAGAGGUUCGGCGAUACGACGAGGCUACGUGAAGAUAUUAAAGAACGAAGCCGUUAAGGUACAGAUUGCCGCAGCUCGCGGCGAAAGCUUCCAAAAAUCACGAAAUCGGAACCCUAACCUCGUGAUAGCGAUAAAAGGUGGGGCGUGUCAUCCCGAAACAUCCGGGUUUCUUUUUAUGUCUAAGUUAAUUAUAUUGAUCAUAUUGUGCUAUAGGAAUAGUAGUUGUACAUUUCCAUUUCCUUGCAUGCUUUCUUGGUAGUGUAGCGGGGUGAGCUUGACACGUGGACUAGGAUAGUAUGAGGAUUGGGUCUUGUGACAUAGAAUCCUAUAGUGGCAAAAGUGAUGAACUUGGACAUAGCCUAGUAGAGGGGCAUUUAAUUAGUGUGGUAGAAACACUAAACUUGAACGAGUGGCAUGUCAACUAGUAGAAAACUUACUACAAUGAUCAAACGAGUGGCAUUGAGUCUAGUAUAGUAAACUUGACAUGAACCCAGGGAUAGUAGAGGUCCCAACAUUGAUUAUAUAUCAUGAUUGUGCAGUAGAGGCACAUUGACCCUAGUAGACAGGGUAUCCUCUUGAGAGGAUUGGAUCAUACUCACUAGUCUGUUUUCGCUUGUCGGUGGUCGCUCCACCGAGGCACGAGUCUCCGGAGUACUUCACUAGGGGCAGACGUAGUUGUCCCGCAGACGGUCUCGGUGUGCGAGUACAGUUUCUCCUCACCUAUGAGAUUGAGAGUGAGUCGAGGGUUAACCUACGGGUUAACCAAGUAGAUUGGGUAAUAAACAUGAAAUGCAUAGUAGACUUGCAUUAUUACCUUGAGUAGACAUAGUGUAUGUUGUAGUUUACAUUACUAUGCACCUUUAUAUACUCAUGACAUGAUACUAGCAUGAUAGUAGUUGUUGCAUGCAUUAUUAUCAUUGAUGGCAUGAUAGAGUAGUUGCAGUUCGUUUUCUAUAUAUCUAUCUAUCUCUCUAUCUGUGCCAGCUUAGACCUAGUGGGAAAACCGGCGGCGUCGGCGGCCGAACCCACUGGGAACUAUAUUUAUAUAGUUCUCACCCCGUGUGGUUUUGGGGUACAGGUACACACAGAGGCGAGCCGAGCGAGGACCGCGGCAAGGGCAUAGCGCCCUAAGUGAGCCUAGUUAGUAGCUUUUCCUUUAUGCAUUAGAGUACCCUCGUGUACUAGAUGAUGUUUUGGAUAGUUAUGGGAGGGCUACUUAUAUCUUGAAAAAAACAUGUACUUACAUUUUGGAAGAUGAAAAUGUAAUAUAUUCAAAUGAUGUAAAUGUUCAACGGUUGUAAUAGUUAGACUAUCUCUCUUUAUACACUUGU
rnacentral:lncRNA from 1 species